AAUUAGGAGCUCCCCACUUCCAAGCAAUUUUAUAAGAUGGACGCGUCUAGCGAGCGGCAGGGUGCUCGCUAGCGCUCACGAGCGGCAGGCCAGAAAAGGUAAGCGUCUGUCCCCUAGUCCCGGGAAGGAAAGAUCCUUUGCGCCAGCUGUUCCCACCUAUUCCCACGCGCAAACAAAGGGAAUAGCAGAUUAACGGAGUCCCCUCACCACCCGCCGCUGUCACGUGAUACCCAUCAAACUACUAGCGCCCCUCUCGCCCACCCUCUCUCCCUCGCUGGUCGUCAACUUCUUCCCCAUGAAAGAAACCAGAUCCAAUGCCAUGAACCAGAUCCUGUAGAGCUGCCAUGGCAAAGCAGCCAAGGUGAGGAGAUCUUGGUCAGAAAAACAGGAAGAAGAGAAGAGAAGCUUACCAAGCAACGCCAAGAGAAGGAAGAUCAAGUAAAAGCAUAAGAAAUUCAGUUCCCUGUGCAAGAAAACCAUUGUUUGAAACCAACUUUCACAUGGAUGUCUGCAAACAAACAUAUCCAGGGGU